AAUGAAUCUUUUUCCUGAAGUACGAAAAAUUACUCACUAGCAGCGCUAGUGGUUCGAAGACGACGUUCCUGGAGCAAAACUAAAAUUUGCAACCGUAAAAGACAACAAUUUAAUAACACUAAAACGUUGGCUUGCGUGCCGUAAUUUAAAAGUUACCG